GAGCCUGGACGACAACAACAGAAACAACUUGGGAUAGCUUUUUUCCCCAAGAGGUAGCAGUGGGAAGGAGCUUCUCCUUCCAACCAGUAACUUCCUCUCCCACCACCACACCACCAACUCUUCAAGUCUAAGUUUACAGGUAAGGAUCCUAGUCACAGGAGGUCAAGACUGAGGGUGCAGGGUGCUAUAAAACUGGCUUCCAGCAGUACAGUAGACAUGCAUCCCAAGAGGUCAAGGAAAAGUCAGUCAACCUCAGAAUUUUUCAAGGAGAGGAGACUUAACUGUAAGAUUACCAUUGAUGACUGGUUGGAUCACAACAUAAAGGGAGAAAAUUCCUAUGAAAAGAGGAAACGUAAAAGCAACAAUAAGAAGAAACGAAGACUUCAUCAUCGAAGAAAAAUAUCAAGAAAGGUUGGCAAGACAUCACCUUGGCCUGGUCGGCGAUAUAGAGAACAUUUUGAAGCUUCAGGUGAUUGUUCAUAUAUCCCUCUUUAAGUACCUAGUAUUUCCACUUAAACUCGCAGAAAAAGGGGCUUGGUUGGCAAUGCUCCCGCCUUCCACACUGAGUGUUCGUGGUUCAGUCACCGGCAUGGAUGCCAAUGUUUAACAUGUUUCCUUAUAUCUGCUGUUCAUGUUCACUUAUAAGUAAGUGUAGGUACCUGGGUGUUAGUCAACCUGGGUGUUAGUCAACCUGGGUGUUAGUCAACCUGGGUGUUAGUCAAUCUGGAUAGAGGUCUGAACUUGCUACCACCUGCAGCUCAUAAGACUGCCAUCCCCACGAGCCCCUUUGGGGCGGGGCAGAUGACAGACCAGAGGCCUAGCUUCUCCCUACGAGCCCCGUGAGGGCGGGGACUGUGGCUAGGCCUGGGGACUCUUGGUCCCAAAGAUGAGGGGGUACUUGUAUCUCCUUCCAUGGGAGACUUACGUCUCGAGACGCUCCCCAGAUAGGGAGCCAAGACCGGGUCACCACUACUUGGAAAAGACCGGGGCCGGGAGAAUACCGGCGAAUAAAAAAAAAAAUCAACCUGGGUGUUAGUCAACCUGGUUGUUAGUCAACCUGGGUGUUAGUCAACCUGGGCGUUAGUCAACCUGGGUGUUAGUCAACCUGGUUGUUAGUCAACCUGGGUGUUAGUAAACCUGGGUGUUAGUCAACCUGGGUGUUAGUCACCCUGGGUGUUAGUCAACCUGGGUGUUACUCAACCUGGGUGUUAGUCAACCUGGGUGUUAGAAAACCUGGGUGUUAGUCACGCUGGGUGUUAGUCAACCUGUGUGUUAGUCAACCUGGGUGUUAGUCAACCUGGGUGUUAGUCAACCUGGGUGUUAGUCAACCUGGGUGUUAGUCAACCUGGGUGAUAGUCAACCUGAGUGUUAGUCAACCUGGGUGAUAGUCAACCUGGGUGAUAGUCAACCUGGGUGAUAGUCAACCUGGGUGAUAGUCAACCUGGGUGUUAGUCAACCUGGGUGAUAGUCAACUGGUGGGGGACAAGAUUGAAGGACCCAAAUGUAAAUAAGACGGACAGUCCUCGACUUUCGGGGGUUAUUCUGGGUGACUAAUCCUCCGGUUUAAAAUUCCAAACAAAUCUUGUCUUAUGAACUGAUAGGCCAGCAGAAGGCACUUACUCAACAAUAUGCCUUAAUUACAAUGAAGUUCCUUAAGGUCUUUCCAACGACUAACUUCUAGGUACCUAUUUAGUGCUAGGUAAACAGAAGUAGCAGACGUAAGGAGAGUUACUCAUGCGUCCCAUCUCGCCCAGGGUUCGAUCCCACGUAUUUUCGGUUGCGAGGCGAAUACUCUAACCAUUGAGAAGUAGCACAGUAUCUCUCUUCCCUGUGUCAGUGACUCCACAUCUUUCAUACUCUGAAAGUGAGCCAUUGUUGGCAGUCACUCUGAUGGCAAGUAUGUUGUGGAAGUAUCCCUUGAAGAUUCAUGUUGUGGAAGUAUCCCUUGAAGAUUUAUGUUGUGGAAGUAUCCCUUGAAGAUUUAUGUUGUGGAAGUAUUCCUUGAAGAUUAAUGUUGUGGAAGUAUCCCUUGAAG